UUCAAAUGGGCCCAAUUCUAGAACGAGUCCAUAAACUAAUACCGAACAAAAACCUUUAUUCUUUUAUUUUCUGAGUUCUGAUUGAAGAGAGAAAAAAAAAAACAUGAUGGAAGGAGACGGAAGCUCAGAGAUGGAAUACACAGAGAUCAACACAAACGCAGAAUCUCUGGACAAUUCGGUGAUCUUCCAUGUCAUUAAAGACGUUCUAGGCUUCGUUCUCUACAUGCACCAGCAGAUCCCUUCCGUUUUGCAAGAUAUUGGACUCGAAUUUGAUUCUUUGAAAGAGGAAUAUCAGGAGCUGGAGAUGGCUCUUGCACAAGAUGAAGCAAAGGCAUCUAUUCGAAGAAAACAUAAUAGCAGAAAGAGAGAAGUCAAAAGUGGAAUUAAGAGAUUAGAGAAGUUGAUGAAUACUCUUAAUGGCCUUGAAAGUGCAUUGCAACUGAUAAUUAGUGAGAUUCCUAGUCUCGAGAGUUUUAUUUUGAUUCUUGGAGCUAGUCCAUUACGGCCACAGCAUGUAUAUGAAUUGUGGUUUUCACAUGGAAAAGUUGUCCUCAGAGGAGCAAAUGAUUUUACUAAAAGCAAAGCAGCCGAAGGGCUCUCAAGAAAGGCUAUUCGUACACUAAUCACAAAGGGUGGUGGGUCUGGUUCCUACCCAGGUCCUACUAAGUUGUUUCUAUUGGUAAAAGCUCCAUCUUCUUUUAAUCUGCCUCUGCAUUUUCUUCCAAAACGUGACUUCAGAUAUAGCAGAAAGCCAGAUUGUACCUGUCAGACUGCGACUCAAUUGUAAAAGUAAAGAUCAGGAUAUGGUUGCUCCUGUUAAUGCUUGUCAGACAGGCAGUUCCAUCAACCUGACGGAUUCGACUUCUAAUGAGUUUAUCUGGUUUCAGUGUCGCCAUGUUGUUAAGGGCCUUGUAUUUGCAACUCCAACAGAAGAAUGAAAAAGUUUCCUCGUAGACCCGCUAUGUUUUCAUCUCAGCUAUUGAUUCAUUUCAAGAUCCAUUGCAUUCUCCAAGGUCUAAACAAAAUUCGCCUUAUACUGCAUUUUGCCCAAGUGAUUGCUCAGAUUGCAUUAGCUUGCCAAGACUUCUCUCAAUGUUGGCAAUCAUAUAGCUAAUCUGCAGAAUUUCUCAGUUGGAAUUCUUUGUUGUUUGACGUAGCAAAUCACCUUAAAUUUAUGUACACGCAUACAACAAUUUCCUAUUAGCUAAAAAGUGCUCCCUGUCAGAUACUUAUGAGCACUUAUACAAGUAUAAUUAUAAAUUAUAAGCAAUCAUGAAUGAAUCUGAAGUCUUGAAAUUAA